rnacentral:rRNA from 1 species
UACGUAGGGUGCGAGCGUUGUCCGGAAUUACUGGGCGUAAAGAGUUCGUAGGCGGUUUGUCGCGUCGUUCGUGAAAACUUGGGGCUUAACUCCAAGCGUGCGGGCGAUACGGGGCAGACUUGAGUACUACAGGGGAGACUGGAAUUCCUGGUGUAGCGGUGAAAUGCGCAGAUAUCAGGAGGAACACCGGUGGCGAAGGCGGGGUCUCUGGGUAGUAACUGACGCUGAGGAGCGAAAAGCGUGGGUAGCGAACAGG